rnacentral:rRNA from 1 species
AGUCGAGCGGAGAUGAGGUGCUUGCACCUUAUCUUAGCGGCGGACGGGUGAGUAAUGCUUAGGAAUCUGCCUAUUAGUGGGGGACAACAUUCCGAAAGGAAUGCUAAUACCGCAUACGUCCUACGGGAGAAAGCAGGGGAUCUUCGGACCUUGCGCUAAUAGAUGAGCCUAAGUCGGAUUAGCUAGUUGGUGGGGUAAAGGCCUACCAAGGCGACGAUCUGUAGCGGGUCUGAGAGGAUGAUCCGCCACACUGGGACUGAGACACGGCCCAGACUCCUACGGGAGGCAGCAGUGGGGAAUAUUGGACAAUGGGGGGAACCCUGAUCCAGCCAUGCCGCGUGUGUGAAGAAGGCCUUAUGGUUGUAAAGCACUUUAAGCGAGGAGGAGGCUACUGAGACUAAUACUCUUGGAUAGUGGACGUUACUCGCAGAAUAAGCACCGGCUAACUCUGUGCCAGCAGCCGCGGUAAUACACAGGGUGCGAGCGUUAUCGAUUUACUGGGCGUAAAGCGUGCGUAAGCGGCUUUUUUAGUCGAUGUGAAAUCCCCCAGCUUAACUUGGGAAUUGCAUUCCAUACUGGGAAGCUAGAGUAUGGGAGAGAUGGUAGAAUUUCCCGUGUA